rnacentral:misc_RNA from 1 species
GUGGGAGCAAAGCUUGCUCGCGAUAGCGCUGGAUCAUCCAGCAACAAUGUUGACUGGCAUACCGCUAUCGCGAGCAAGCUUUGCUCCCAC